rnacentral:rRNA from 1 species
AACCGGAGGAAGGUGGGGAUGACGUCAAGUCAGCAUGGCCUUUAUGUCUGGGGCCACACACGUGCUACAAUGGCCGGUACAAACCGUCGCGAGCCCGCGAGGGGGAGCUAAUCGGAGAAAGCCGGUCUCAGUUCGGAUUGUAGGCUGCAACUCGCCUGCAUGAAGUUGGAAUCGCUAGUAAUCGCGGAUCAGCACGCCGCGGUGAAUACGUUCCCGGGCCUUGUACACACCGCCCGUCACAUCACGAAAGCUGGCUGUACUAGAGGUAACUGAGCCAACCCGCAAGGGAGGCAAGUUCCUGAGGUAUG